GGUCCCCCACAUUGGUACUGAGACACGGACCAAACUCNUACGGGAGGCAGCAGUGAGGAAUAUUGGUCAAUGGCCGAGAGGCUGAACCAGCCAAGUCGCGUGAAGGAAGAAGGAUCUAUGGUUUGUAAACUUCUUUUAUAGGGGAAUAAAGUGGAGGACGUGUCCUUUUUUGUAUGUACCCUAUGAAUAAGCAUCGGCUAACUCCGUGCCAGCAGCCGCGGUAAUACGGAGGAUGCGAGCGUUAUCCGGAUUUAUUGGGUUUAAAGGGUGCGUAGGUGGUGAUUUAAGUCAGCGGUGAAAGUUUGUGGCUCAACCAUAAAAUUGCCGUUGAAACUGGGUUACUUGAGUGUGUUUGAGGUAGGCGGAAUGCGUGGUGUAGCGGUGAAAUGCAUAGAUAUCACGCAGAACUCCGAUUGCGAAGGCAGCUUACUAAACC
rnacentral:rRNA from 1 species